UACGUAGGGUGCAAGCGUUGUCCGGAAUUAUUGGGCGUAAAGAGCGUGUAGGCGGCCCGACAAGUCCGCUGUGAAAGUCCAGGGCUCAACCCUGGAAUGCCGGUGGAAACUGUCGAGCUAGAGUCCGGAAGAGGCGAGUGGAAUUCCUGGUGUAGCGGUGAAAUGCGCAGAUAUCAGGAGGGACACCAAUGGCGAAGGCAGCUCGCUGGGACGGUACUGACGCUGAGACGCGAAAGCGUGGGGAGCAAACAGG
rnacentral:rRNA from 1 species